UACGGAGGGGGCAAGCGUUAUCCGGAUUUACUGGGCUUAAAGGGUGCGUAGGUGGGUCUGUAAGUCAGUGGUGAAAUCUCCGAGCUUAACUCGGAAACUGCCAUUGAUACUAUAGGUCUUGAAUUAUCUGGAGGUAAGCGGAAUAUGUCAUGUAGCGGUGAAAUGCUUAGAUAUGACAUAGAACACCAAUUGCGAAGGCAGCUUACUACGGAUUGAUUGACACUGAGGCACGAAAGCGUGGGGAUCAAACAGG
rnacentral:rRNA from 1 species